rnacentral:rRNA from 1 species
CUGUGAAGAUGCAGUGUACCCGCGGCAAGACGGAAAGACCCCGUGAACCUUUACUAUAGCUUGACACUGAACACUGGUCCUUGAUGUGUAGGAUAGGUGGGAGGCUUUGAAGCGUGGACGCCAGUCUGCGUGGAGCCAACCUUGAAAUACCACCCUUUAAUGGCUGGUGUUCUAACGUAGACCCGUGAUCCGGGUUGCGGACAGUGUCUGGUGGGUAGUUUGACUGGGGCGGUCUCCUCCCAAAGAGUAACGGAGGAGCACGAAGGUUAGCUAAUCCUGGUCGGACAUCAGGAGGUUAGUGCAAUGGCAUAAGCUAGCUUGACUGCGAGAGUGACGGCUCGAGCAGGUGCGAAAGCAGGUCAUAGUGAUCCGGUGGUUCUGAAUGGAAGGGCCAUCGCUCAACGGAUAAAAGGUACUCCGGGGAUAACAGGCUGAUACCGCCCAAGAGUUCAUAUCGACGGCGGUGUUUGGCACCUCGAUGUCGGCUCAUCACAUCCUGGGGCUGAAGUAGGUCCCAAGGGUAUGGCUGUUCGCCAUUUAAAGUGGUACGCGAGCUGGGUUUAGAACGUCGUGAGACAGUUCGGUCCCUAUCUGCCGUGGGCGCUGGAGAAUUGAGGGGGGCUGCUCCUAGUACGAGAGGACCGGAGUGGACGCAUCACUGGUGUUCGGGUUGUCAUGCCAAUGGCACUGCCCGGUAGCUAAAUGCGGAAGAGAUAAGUGCUGAAAGYAUCUAAGCACGAAACUUGCCCYGAGAUGAGUUCUCCCUGAGACUUUAAGUCUCCUGAAGGAACGUUGAAGACUACGACGUUGAUAGGUCGGGUGUGUAAGCGCAGCGAUGCGUUGAGCUAACCGAUACUAAUGAACCGUGAGGCUUAACCUU